rnacentral:rRNA from 1 species
AAGCAUAUCAAUAAGCGGAGGAAAAGAAACCAACAGGGAUUGCCCUAGUAACGGCGAGUGAAGCGGCAACAGCUCAAAUUUGAAAUCUGGCUCUCUUUGGGGGUCCGAGUUGUAAUUUGCAGAGGAUGCUUUGGCAUUGGCGGCGGUCUAAGUUCCUUGGAACAGGACAUCGCAGAGGGUGAGAAUCCCGUACGUGGGCGCCUGCCUUUGCCGUGUAAAGCUCCUUCGACGAGUCGAGUUGUUUGGGAAUGCAGCUCUAAAUGGGAGGUAAAUUUCUUCUAAAGCUAAAUACCGGCCAGAGACCGAUAGCGCACAAGUAGAGUGAUCGAAAGAUGAAAAGUACUUUGGAAAGAGAGUCAAAAAGCACGUGAAAUUGUUGAAAGGGAAGCGCUUGCAGCCAGACUUGCCCGCAGUUGCUCACCUAGGCUUUGGCCUGGGGCACUCUUCUGCGGGCAGGCCAGCAUCAGUUUGGGCGGUCGGACAAAGGCCUCUGUCAAGUAUCUCCCUUCGGGGUGACCUUAUAGGGGAGGCGUAAUGCGACCAGCCCGGACUGAGGUCCGCGCAUCUGCUAGGAUGCUGGCGUAAUGGCUGUAAGCGGCCCGUCUUGAAACACGGACCAAGGAGUCUAACAUCUAUGCGAGUGUUUGGGUGUCAAGCCCGGGCGCGCAAUGAAAGUGAACGGAGGUGGGAACCCUUUGGGUGCACCAUCGACCGAUCCUGAUGUCUUCGGAUGGAUUUGAGUAAGAGCAUAGCUGUUGGGACCCGAAAGAUGGUGAACUAUGCUUGAAUAGGGUGAAGCCAGAGGAAACUCUGGUGGAGGCUCGCAGCGGUUCUGACGUGCAAAUCGAUCGUCAAAUUUGGGCAUAGGGGCGAAAGACUAAUCGAACCAUCUAGUAGCUGGUUCCUGC